ACUCAGAUAAGGUAUUUAAUUUUGUGAAUAUAUCCAAAAUAGACACCUUAUCUUUGGGG
rfam:Monodelphis domestica chromosome X, whole genome shotgun sequence.